rnacentral:lncRNA from 10 species
UGAAGCUCAGUGCCUGCUCGCAAUCCUGGCUGUGCCUACAGUGUUUUACUCAACAAGUUCUGGAUAAUCUCUCCUGAGCUUGUCAAUGAUACCAGAGGUGGAAUGGAUGGUGGUACAGAGCAAGGCUAUGGAAUCUGAAGGUGGUGGUCAUCACCCUCACUUGUUGUAUGGAGUCUUGCUCUGUUGCCCAGGCUGGAGCACAAUCUCAGUUCACUGAAACCUCCGCCUCCUGGAUUCAAGCAAUUCUCCUGCCUCAGCCUCCUGAGUAGCUGGGAUUGCAGCUACAAUGCCACCAGGUGAUCGGAAUUUUUCAGCUCCAUUAAAAUCUUAUGAGACCAUCACUGAAUAUGUGGUCCGUCAUUGACCAAAACAUCAUGAUGCAGCUCAUGACUAUAGUUCUGUCUCAGAAGAUCCAGGAAAUAGUAGGUUCCUCCGAGGCCGGAAGCCCAUUCAGUAUCUUAGCCAAUGGCAUGUCUUAUAGACUAAGAUUCAGCUCUCUUCAGACUAAGAUCACAGCUUGGGUGUGAUUUGAUCCUGCUUCAAGCUGGCAAAGCCUCAGAA